UACGAAGGGGGCUAGCGCUGCUCGGAAUGACUGGGCGUAAAGGGCGCGUAGGCGGAUGGCACAGUCAGAUGUGAAAUUCCCGGGCUUAACCUGGGGGCUGCAUUUGAUACGUGUGAUCUAGAGUGAGGAAGAGGGUCGUGGAAUUCCCAGUGUAGAGGUGAAAUUCGUAGAUAUUGGGAAGAACACCGGUGGCGAAGGCGGCGACCUGGUCCUUGACUGACGCUGAGGCGCGAAAGCGUGGGGAGCAAACAGG
rnacentral:rRNA from 1 species